rnacentral:lncRNA from 1 species
UGACCAAUAAGGGACUUUCUCACUUUUUCAUUAAUGGAGGGGAUCUCAUUGAGUUUAAACUUAAUUUCUGUAAAACUGAGAAUGCAAUGAAACUUACAGAUGUGUAACUUCUCAGAGCUUUUCAUCUAGUAGACAAAUGAUACUGCUGGGGAUAUAAACAAGCAUGGACAGCAUAGUCCUAAUCACAUGAUUUUAAAACCAAAUUACAGAGCCUUAAAAAAAAAAAACUUCCAUGAUGAUGAUCGUGGGCUUUAAUUAUGGCACUUCCCAGCAGAGUUAGGAAACCUCUUUACAGGUACAGUGGCAUACACCUAACCUGAUUGGGGAACUGGAUGGAAUCUGCAGAGAAGAGAACAGAGAUGUUUGCACAGUGAUACAAGCAGCCUGGUAACUAGCCAGACAAACUUGGAACUGUUGCAGCAUGGGGUGUUGGAUAGUGUAAAGAUACUGGAAAAAAUGUGGUGUGAUUGUCUGUAAUAGUGCAUUUUCUCUGGGAAAUAAAAGAAGGUGAAGCAGGAUACCAUUAGGAGUGUCUGUGCCAACUGCUUUUCAUGGCCAUUUGAAGUAAAGCAGUUGUUGUAGAGUUAUUCUGAUAACUGCAGUCUGAUUUGGACCAGUUUAAUUUCCCCUGUACAACAGUUAAUCGGUAUGUUGGCUCAUUGGCUAACCCACAAGCCUUUGUCCUUGUGUCAUGAUCUACUCUAACAGGCUUCCCCUGCUCUGCAUGUCCAGGUGAUGCUGGCAUCUGUGCUGCCAGGCUGUAAGAAAGAGUGCUGACAUAGAAACUCACCCUUCAUCUGCCACCAUCUGCUCUGUGGGCUGUGCUGCUCCAGGACUGCAGUAGGCAAGGUCAGAGUGGACCAGUUGUGGCACUUGCUGAGGGAUGACAGCGGAGGAUAACUGCAGCCGCUCCUACAAACGGAUCUGCACAGCGUGCCGUGCCCUGCCUGAUUGGAGGUCCAUCUGAUGCUGCACAACUUGGGGUUCCCAGCAUCUGAAGGGACGUAAGAUUAUCUAUCCUCUUUUUCCUUCUAGUGUUAGCUCCAAUAAAUGGUAUUUUAAUCACUACCUUAUGGAGUCU